rnacentral:rRNA from 1 species
UGGCUCAGGACGAACGCUGGCGGCGUGCCUAAUACAUGCAAGUCGAGCGAGUCUGCCUUGAAGAUCGGAGUGCUUGCACUCUGUGAAACAAGAUACAGGCUAGCGGCGGACGGGUGAGUAACACGUGGGUAACCUGCCCAAGAGAUCGGGAUAACACCUGGAAACAGAUGCUAAUACCGGAUAACAACAGAUGAUGCCUAUCAACUGUUUAAAAGAUGGUUCUGCUAUCACUCUUGGAUGGACCUGCGGUGCAUUAGCUAGUUGGUAGGGUAACGGCCUACCAAGGCGAUGAUGCAUAGCCGAGUUGAGAGACUGAUCGGCCACAUUGGGACUGAGACACGGCCCAAACUCCUACGGGAGGCAGCAGUAGGGAAUCUUCCACAAUGGACGCAAGUCUGAUGGAGCAACGCCGCGUGAGUGAAGAAGGGUUUCGGCUCGUAAAGCUCUGUUGUUGGUGAAGAAGGACAGGGGUUAGUAACUGACCUUUGUUUUGACGGUAAUCAAUUAGAAAGUCACGGCUAACUACGUGCCAGCAGCCGCGGUAAUACGUAGGUGGCAAGCGUUGUCCGGAUUUAUUGGGCGUAAAGCGAGUGCAGGCGGCUCGAUAAGUCUGAUGUGAAAGCCUUCGGCUCAACCGGAGAAUUGCAUCAGAAACUGUCGAGCUUGAGUACAGAAGAGGAGAGUGGAACUCCAUGUGUAGCGGUGAAAUGCGUAGAUAUAUGGAAGAACACCGGUGGCGAAGGCGGCUCUCUGGUCUGUUACUGACGCUGAGGCUCGAAAGCAUGGGUAGCGAACAGGAUUAGAUACCCUGGUAGUCCAUGCCGUAAACGAUGAGUGCUAAGUGUUGGGAGGUUUCCGCCUCUCAGUGCUGCAGCUAACGCAUUAAGCACUCCACCUGGGGAGUACGACCGCAAGGUUGAAACUCAAAGGAAUUGACGG